GUCCUACUGAAUAGUCCUAUCCUAGGACUAAACGGCCGUCCAGUAC
rfam:Schistosoma margrebowiei strain Zambia genome assembly, scaffold: SMRZ_contig0002526